AAACUUUCAAACGGAUCUCUUGGUUUCGGCAUCGAUGAAGAACGCAGCGAAAUGCGAUAAGUAAUGUGAAUUGCAGAAUUCGUGAAUCAUCGAAUCUUUGAACGCACAUUGCGCCCCUGGCAUUCGGGGGCAUGCUGUUCGAGCGUCAUU
rnacentral:rRNA from 1 species